CAAAUUUCUAUUUGUCCGGGGUUUUUAUGAUGGAAGGGCAGCUUGUGGGCACCGAGAUUCCUGGCUUCCAUACAUUGCAAGAUUUAAGAAGCCAGAGCAAGGUGGCUUUGCCCAAGUGAAAUUCAUGCAAUACUUUGCAAUUACAAGUAUUUCACAAUCAAUGUCAAGCCACUGACCUUGCCCCAAAGUAAUUUCCUAUUUCUCUGGCUUUCCUCCAAGAAAGGUAUGCCCCUAUUUCUAUUUUCAGUCUCUCCCAUAAAUCACACUAAUGA